GGGGGCUAGCGUUGCUCGGAAUCACUGGGCGUAAAGGGUGCGUAGGCGGGUCUUUAAGUCCGGGGGGAAAUCCUGGAGCUCAACUCCAGAACUGCCUUUGAUACUGAAGAUCUUGAGUUCGGGAGAGGUGAGUGGAACUGCGAGUGUAGAGGUGAAAUUCGUAGAUAGUCGCAAGAACACCAGUGGCGAAGGCGGCUCACUGGCCCGAUACUGACGCUGAGGCACGAAAGCGUGGGGAGCGAACAGG
rnacentral:rRNA from 1 species